UUCGAUAAUUUAAAAAAACAAAAAGAAAAAAAUAUAUAUAAUAUAUAUGAAGCAGGAAACUGUGAUACAUAACUUAAGGAAAAAUUGACCAAUAAAACUGAUCCGGGAAGGUCGUGAGGAAGCAGCGCACAGUUUGCAGCUGUCAUUUCUUCCGCCUUCAGUCUGUUGAUCUUUUGUAGAGCUUCCAACAUCGCUAUGUUGGGACAGAGCAUCCGGAGGUUCACAACCUCUGUGGUUCAUCGGAGCCACUACGAGGAGGGUCCUGGGAAGAAUAUACCAUUUUCAGUGGAAAACAAGUGGAGGUUACUAGCUAUGAUGACUUUGUUCUUUGGGUCUGGAUUUGCUGCACCUUUCUUUAUAGUAAGACACCAACUGCUUAAAAAGUAAUCCAUGAGACAGAUAGGAAUAGGAACAUAUUAAGAAGUGCAAUGUCUUAAAAGGAUCAAACCCUUGAACUCAGCAUCCUAGAUAUGUUUGUAAAUAAACUUAGGGCAUAAAUCCUUAACACCUCUUCUCUGAAAUACGGAACAUGAUAGUUGAACACGUGCUUACAUUUUAUUUGGGUAAUAUUGCAUUAUUAGUUUCUUAAUUAAAUAUGUAUUUGAUUU